rnacentral:rRNA from 1 species
AACGAACGCUGGCGGCAUGCCUAACACAUGCAAGUCGAACGAGACCUUCGGUUCUAGUGGCGCACGGGUGCGUAACGCGUGGGAACCUGCCCUUAGGUUCGGAAUAACUCCCCGAAAGGGGUGCUAAUACCGGAUAAUGUCUUCGGACCAAAGAUUUAUCGCCUUUGGAUGGGCCCGCGUUGGAUUAGCUAGUUGGUAGGGUAAAAGCCUACCAAGGCGACGAUCCAUAGCUGGUCUGAGAGGAUGAUCAGCCACACUGGGACUGAGACACGGCCCAGACUCCUACGGGAGGCAGCAGUGGGGAAUAUUGGACAAUGGGCGAAAGCCUGAUCCAGCAAUGCCGCGUGAGUGAUGAAGGCCUUAGGGUUGCAAAGCUCUUUUACCCGGGAUGAUAAUGACAGUACCGGGAGAAUAAGCUCCGGCUAACUCCGUG